rnacentral:rRNA from 1 species
GGAAUAUUGCGCAAUGGAGGCAACUCUGACGCAGUGACGCCGCGUAUAGGAAGAAGGUUUUCGGAUUGUAAACUAUUGUCGUGAGGGAAGAUAAAAGACUGUACCUAAGGAGGAAUCUCCGGCUAACUACGUGCCAGCAGCCGCGGUAAUACGUAGGGAGCAAGCGUUAUCCGGAUUUAUUGGGUGUAAAGGGUGCGUAGACGGGAAGACAAGUUAGUUGUGAAAUCCCUCGGCUUAACUGAGGAACUGCAACUAAAACUAUCUUUCUUGAGUGUUGGAGAGGAAAGUGGAAUUCCUAGUGUAGCGGUGGAAUGCGUAGAUAUUAGGAGGAACACCGGUGGCGAAGGCGACUUUCUGGACAAUAACUGACGUUGAGGCACGAAAGUGUGGGGAGCAAACA